AGCCUUUAGCCAAACUAGUAUUAAAGGUCCCGCCUAUUAAGGUCCCGCCUGCCCAGUGACACAUUUUUAACGGCCGCGGUAUCCUAACCGUGCAAAGGUAGCGUAAUCACUUGUCCCCUAAAUAGGGACCAGUAUGAACGGCUAAAUGAGGACAGGCCUGUCUCCUGUGGCCAAUCAGUGAAACUGAUCCUCCAGUACAAAAGCUGGAAUAUAAACAUAAGACGAGAAGACCCUGUGGAGCUUCAAACGCCCACUAACAAGCAUUCCCUGCCCCUAGUGUAAAGUUUUAAGUUGGGGCGACUUCGGAGCAAAACGAAACCUCCGAGAACAGAGCCACACACUCUUACCGAGGCCUACAAGCCAAAGUUAGAACAACAGACCCAGUAAUACUGAUCAACGGACCAAGUUACCCCAGGGAUAACAGCGCUAUCUUCUUCAAGAGUCCAUAUCGACAAGAAGGUUUACGACCUCGAUGUUGGAUCAGGACACCCAAAUGGUGCAGCCGCUAUUAACGGUUCGUUUGUUCAACGAUUAACAGUCCUACGUGAUCUAG
rnacentral:rRNA from 1 species